rnacentral:lncRNA from 1 species
AGCUUUAUACGUCAAUGACCUCAACUAACCUAUAAGCCCCGCCUACUAACCGGAACUACUGUAUUUCAUCAACAACGUCACGUCACAACCAUGACAACGUGUAGUAACAAUGGUCAAACUUUUAUGUAUUUAAACUUGUUAUAUCUUCAAAUUGUUAAUUUAUAUACAUGUGUAUCAAAUGUUAUUAUUUAAGUUCAUUUUCCUUUUCUUAUUUCUUAAAAUUUCAAUGUCUUACCGCCAGGACUACGCUCAUAGGGAAAUACCCCAAAACGGUACCCCCAAGAGGGAAAUUCCAAAACACUUUUUUUUAACAAUAUUUGUUACAUAUUUUUUUAUUUUUUAAAUUUUUUUUAUCGAUUUCAGUAUAAAAACAAUAUACGUAUAGUGUCUUGAAAUAUGACAUUUAUUUGUAUUCGGCACGAAACGGGAAAAUGCUCG